rnacentral:rRNA from 1 species
GGAACGACGCUGGCGGCGUGCCUAAUACAUGCAAGUCGAGCGCGGGAAGCGGACAAUCACCCUUCGGGGUGUGCGUCCGUGGAACGAGCGGCGGAUGGGUGAGUAUCACGUGGGCAACCUGCCUGUAAGAUUGGGAUAACUCGCGGAAACGUGAGCUAAUACCGAAUGAAGUCUUUCACCGCCUGGUGAAAGGAUGAAAGAUGGCUCUUGAGCUAUCACUUACAGAUGGGCCCGCGGCGCAUUAGCUAGUUGGUGGGGUAAGGGCCUACCAAGGCGACGAUGCGUAGCCGACCUGAGAGGGUGAUCGGCCACACUGGGACUGAGACACGGCCCAGACUCCUACGGGAGGCAGCAGUAGGGAAUCUUCCGCAAUGGACGAAAGUCUGACGGAGCAACGCCGCGUGAAGUGAUGAAGGUCUUCGGAUCGUAAAACUCUGUUGUCAGGGAAGAACAAGUUGUGUUCUAACAGGACAUGACCUUGACGGUACCUGACCAGAAAGCCCCGGCUAACUACGUGCCAGCCGCCGC